UACGGAGGGUGCUAGCGUUGUUCGGAAUCACUGGGCGUAAAGGGCGUGUAGGCGGUCUGUUAAGUCUGAUGUGAAAUCCCCUCGCUCAACGAGGGAACUGCGUCGGAUACUGGCAGACUCGAGUACCGGAGAGGAAGGUGGAAUUCCCGGUGUAGCGGUGAAAUGCGCAGAUAUCGGGAGGAACACCAGCGGCGAAGGCGGCUCGCUGGGCCAUUCCUGACGCUGAGACGCGAAAGCUAGGGGAGCGAACAGG
rnacentral:rRNA from 1 species